rnacentral:lncRNA from 1 species
CAAAUCCUUCCCUGAUUGCCUGGUCAAUCUGAUUGGAGCAUGUCUCCUCUCAAGCUUUUAUAAGCCUGCUAGAGGGCUGUUGCACUGUUUUCAGCUCAGAACUUUUCUAGUGUAUCAGUGUCAGCUUUUUGUUUCCUGCUUGACCCUCCUAUGUGGAAAAAGUCCCAGCAACUUGUUUUCAGCCACGCCAUUGCUGAUUUGGUGGAGGAGGUUGUCUGAACACUAGUGAUCCCUAAUUCAUGACCCUUGGGAUGUGUGGGGGGCAAGACAUGUGUCCUUUUCCACCCGUGUGCCCCAGCUCUUCUUCGUGACUCACUGAAGAGCUCUCCUAGUCAUGCCUAGUGGGAUGGAAAGAGGCAAAGAGUGCAUCAAAGUGCUCCUUGUCACCUCUCUUCAGGAAUUCCAGAGAGCAACUUAAGUUUGGCUGAUUCUUUACCUGAAAGAGCCACGGUUUCACCAAGGUUUGGUGGUUCACUAUUGAAAAAGAGAGCCUAGGAGAUCCCUACAAAUCUGGACUGGGUGUCCCUCCUACCAUGGAAAAUAAAUGAGGACAACAGCUGACGCUGCUAGAAGAAAUCACUUUUCUGCAGCAGUAUCUACCAUUUCACAUACAUGAGCAGCUCAACCCAAUGAGGGUCAACCCAACUCUACAGACUCCAGGCAAAGGACACAACAAUGUGCUUUUGGAAGCCUUCACCAGCUCUUCGUCUGCUGUCAGUUUUUCAAGAAUGAGUGAAUCGCCACAUCUAUGUCUCAUAGGAAGAGAUUGUCAGCCUCUAAAUCUCUUUCAACAGAAGCUAGGGAGCUGAGAUUAAAUGGCAGGAAAAGCCAAGAUUUGUGGCCCUUGCCACAUCUGUGAUUUAUGGUCCACAGAUAGAGAAAAAGACUCUUCUCC